GCCUGUGUAGCUCAGUUGGUAGAGCAGCGGUAUCGUAAACCGCAGGUCGUCGGUUCAACUCCGACCGCAGGCU
rnacentral:tRNA from 1 species